rnacentral:rRNA from 1 species
GGGUAGAGUAAUGCGUGACCAACCUGCCCCAUGCUCCAGAAUAGCUCUUGGAAACGGGUGGUAAUGCUGGAUGCUCCAACUUGACGCAUGUCUUGUUGGGAAAGUGUUUAGUGGCAUGGGAUGGGGUCGCGCCCUAUCAGCUUGUAGGCGGGGUAAUGGCCCACCUAGGCUUCGACGGGUAGCCGGCCUGAGAGGGCGGACGGCCACAUUGGGACUGAGAUACGGCCCAGACUCCUACGGGAGGCAGCAGCG